UCUCUAAGGAUCGCAUGAUUCUUAGAUGAAAGAUGGUUCUGCUAUCGCUUUUAGAUGGACCCGCGGCGUAUUAACUAGUUGGUGGGGUAACGGCCUACCAAGGUGAUGAUACGUAGCCGAACUGAGAGGUUGAUCGGCCACAUUGGGACUGAGACACGGCCCAAACUCCUACGGGAGGCAGCAGUAGGGAAUCUUCCACAAUGGACGCAAGUCUGAUGGAGCAACGCCGCGUGAGUGAAGAAGGUCUUCGGAUCGUAAAACUCUGUUGUUAGAGAAGAACACGAGUGAGAGUAACUGUUCAUUCGAUGACGGUAUCUAACCAGCAAGUCACGGCUAACUACGUGCCAGCAGCCGCGGUAAUACGUAGGUGGCAAGCGUUGUCCGGAUUUAUUGGGCGUAAAGGGAACGCAGGCGGUCUUUUAAGUCUGAUGUGAAAGCCUUCGGCUUAACCGGAGUAGUGCAUUGGAAACUGGAAGACUUGAGUGCAGAAGAGGAGAGUGGAACUCCAUGUGUAGCGGUGAAAUGCGUAGAUAUAUGGAAGAACACCAGUGGCGAAAGC
rnacentral:rRNA from 1 species